CGAGGAGGAAAAGGCGAUCGCGGCGUCGCUCCACCUCGGUGGACGGCGUCGAGGAAAGUCCGGGCUCCGCAGGGCAGGGUGCUGGCGCAGGCCAGUCGGGGUAACUCGAAGGAAAGUGCCACAGAAAGCAAACCGCCUGCGUACGCGCAGGUAAGGGUGAAAGGGUGCGGUAAGAGCGCACCGGGAUCGAGGCGACGAGAUUCGCACGGUAAACCCCACCCGGAGCAAGGCCGAACAGGGACACGUCGCCCGAACCGCGAGGGGACGGCGACAGAGGCGGCCCGUCUCGUCCCGGGUAGCGCCGCUUAGACGAAUGAUCACCACUCGGGUGAAGAGAUGACCCCGAGGACAGAACCCGGCUUACGACCUCUCUCGACCG
rnacentral:RNase_P_RNA from 1 species